rnacentral:rRNA from 1 species
UGUACACGCUGUGACUAGCAUAUCAAUAAGCGGAGGAAAAGAAACUAACAAGGAUUCCCCUAGUAACGGCGAGUGAAGCGGGAAGAGCUCAAAUUUGAAAUCUUAAAGGGUUUCCCUUUACGAAUUGUAGUUUAAAGAAGUGUUUUCUGUUGAGGUUUUGGUAAAAGUUCUUUGGAAUAGGACAUCAUAGAGGGUGAGAAUCCCGUAUUUGACCUUUACUUUCAACUUUGUGAUACACUUUCAAAGAGUCGGAUUGUUUGGGAAUGCAGUCCAAAAUGGGUGGUAAAUUUCAUCUAAAGCUAAAUAUUGGCGAGAGACCGAUAGCGAACAAGUACCGUGAGGGAAAGAUGAAAAGAACUUUGAAAAGAGAGUUAAACAGUACGUGAAAUUGUCAAAAGGGAAGCGUUUGACACCAGUGUUGUUUUUCUGAAAAUCAAUUAAAGAACUGUUUAGUGCUAAGCUGUUUAGACUUUAUCAGCUAUCUGUUUAGUUUUGAGCUUUUCUUUAAUGCACUUUUCAGUUAACAAGUCAACAUCAAUUUCUUUUGCUGUAAAAAAGCUUGAGGAAGGUGGCUUGAGAUUCGUCUUAAGUGUUUAUAGCCUCUUGCCUAUGCAGUCGGAGAGAUUGAGGUCUGCAGCGUAGAUCCUUCGGGGCUAAAUGCAUUUGUGCUAAGUUAUAGCAUUUUAUAGACAACUUGUUGACUAUGAUUUGUCUUGUAGCUUACUCGCUUAUGUUAUUUUACCUACGCUUAGGAUGUUGAUAUGCAUGACUGAUAU